GACGAACGCUGGCGGCGUGCCUAAUACAUGCCAGUUGAGCGCUGAAGGUUGGUACUUGUACCAACUGGAUGAGCAGCGAACGGGUGAGUAACGCGUGGGGAAUCUGCCUUUGAGCGGGGGACAACAUUUGGAAACGAAUGCUAAUACCGCAUAAAAACUUUAAACACAAGUUUUAAGUUUGAAAGAUGCAAUUGCAUCACUCAAAGAUGAUCCCGCGUUGUAUUAGCUAGUUGGUGAGGUAAAGGCUCACCAAGGCGAUGAUACAUAGCCGACCUGAGAGGGUGAUCGGCCACAUUGGGACUGAGACACGGCCCAAACUCCUACGGGAGGCAGCAGUAGGGAAUCUUCGGCAAUGGACGAAAGUCUGACCGAGCAACGCCGCGUGAGUGAAGAAGGUUUUCGGAUCGUAAAACUCUGUUGGUAGAAAAGAACGUUGGUGAGAGUGGAAAGCUCAUCAAGUGACGGUAACUACCCAGAAAGGGACGGCUAACUACGUG
rnacentral:rRNA from 1 species